rnacentral:rRNA from 1 species
AGUGAACGCUGGCGGCGUGCUUAACACAUGCAAGUCGAACGAGAACGGGAUAUAGCUUGCUAUAUUUGUCAGCUAAGUGGCGCACGGGUGAGUAAUGUAUAGAUAACCUGCCCUCUAGAAAGGAAUAACAGUUGGAAACGACUGCUAAUGCCCUAUAUGCCUUUAAUACAUAAGUAUGCAAGGGAAACGCUUUAGUGCUAGAGGAUGGGUCUGUAUGGUAUCAGCUUGUUGGUGAGGUAAUGGCUCGCCAAGGCUAUGACGCCUAACUGGUUUGAGAGGAUGAGCAGUCACACUGGAGCUGAGACACGGUCCAGACUCCUACGGGAGGCAGCAGUGGGGAAUAUUGCACAAUGGACGAAAGUCUGAUGCAGCAACGCCGCGUGGAGGAUGACACAUUUCGGUGCGUAAACUCCUUUUAUAUAGGAAGAUAAUGACGGUACUAUAUGAAUAAGCACCGGCUAACUCCGUGCCAGCAGCCGCAGUAA